AACGAACGCUGGCGGCAUGCCUAACACAUGCAAGUCGAACGAGACCUUCGGGUCUAGUGGCGCACGGGUGCGUAACGCGUGGGAACCUGCCCUUAGGUUCGGAAUAACUCCCCGAAAGGGGUGCUAAUACCGGAUAAUGUCUUCGGACCAAAGAUUUAUCGCCUUGGGAUGGGCCCGCGUUGGAUUAGCUAGUUGGUAGGGUAAAAGCCUACCAAGGCGACGAUCCAUAGCUGGUCUGAGAGGAUGAUCAGCCACACUGGGACUGAGACACGGCCCAGACUCCUACGGGAGGCAGCAGUGGGGAAUAUAGGACAGUGGGCGAAAGCCUGAUCCAGCACUGCCGCGUGAGUGAUGAAGGCCUUAGGGUUGUAAAGCUCUUUUAACCGGGAUGAUAAUGACAGUACCGGGAGAAUAAGCUCCGGCUAACUCCGUG
rnacentral:rRNA from 1 species